rnacentral:misc_RNA from 1 species
UUAUUUCUUAUGUUUGAUUCAGACACAAAGACUGAUUAAAGCAUAAAAGCGGCGCCGAGGCGCCGAAGCACAUCUUGCUUCCACAGGUUUGCAAGGUUGAAGGCCAAGAGGCCAUUCAGUAAUGAUCCCUCCGCAGGUUCACCUACGGAGA